rnacentral:rRNA from 1 species
UACGUAGGGUCCGAGCGUUGUCCGGAGUUACUGGGCGUAAAGCGCGCGCAGGCGGCGGUGCUGGCCCGGCGUGAAAGCCCCCGGCUCAACUGGGGAGGGUCAUUCGAUACUGCUCGGCUCGAAGACAGGAGAGGGAAGUGGAAUUCCCGGUGUAGUGGUGAAAUGCGUAGAUAUCGGGAGGAACACCAGUGGUGAAGGCGACUUUCUGGCCUGUUCUUGACGCUGAGGCGCGAAAGCUAGGGGAGCAAACGGG